rnacentral:rRNA from 1 species
ACGGGGCGCAGCAGGCGCGAAAACUUCGCAAUGCGCGAAAGCGUGACGAGGCUAGUCCGAGUGCCGCCUGCUAAAGGUGGCUUUUCUCGGCUGUAAAUAGGCCGGGGAAUAAGGGGAGGGCAAGUCUGGUGUCAGCCGCCGCGGUAAUACCAGCUCCUCGAGUGGUCGGGACGAUUAUUGGGCCUAAAGCACCCGUAGCCGGUUUCGUAAGUCCUCUGUUAAAUCCAGUCGCUCAACGACUGGCCUGCAGAGGAUACUGCGGGACUAGGAGGCGGGAGAGGCGGACGGUACUCCGCGUGUAGGGGUAAAAUCCUUUGAUCCGCGGAAGACCACCAGUGGCGAAGGCGGUCCGCCAGAACGCGCUCGACGGUGAGGGGUGAAAGCUGGGGGAGCGAACCGGAUUAGAUACCCGGGUAGUCCCAGCCGUAAACGAUGCGAGCUAGAUGAUUCGAUCGCAGUUCGCGGUCGAAGUGUCGCAGGGAAGCCGUUAAGCUCGCCGCCUGGGGAGUACGCUCGCAAGGCUGAAUCGUAGGAAGCUACUUCUUUCUACGCAGUUCACUUAAAGGAAUUGGCGGGGGAGCACCACAAGGGGUGAAGCCUGCGGUUCAAUUGGAGUCAACGCCAGGAAACUUACCAGGAGCGACAGCAGUAUGAGAGUCAGGCUGAAGACUUUACUUGACGAGCUGAGAGGAGGUGCAUGGCCGUCGCCAGCUCGUGCCGUGAGGCGUCCUGUUAAGUCAGGCAACGAGCGAGACCCUUGCCGAUAAUUGCUAGCCGUGGUAGCAAUACCGCGGAGGCUAGUUAUCAGGACUGCCGCUGCUAAAGCGGAGGAAGGAGAGGGCCACGGCAGGUCAGUAUGCCCCGAAACUCCUGGGCCACACGCGGGCUGCAAUGGUAGGGACAGUGGGUCCCGACCUCGACAGAGGGAGGCAAUCCUCAAACCCUACCCCAGUUGUGACUGAGGGCUGCAACCCGCCCUCAUGAAUAUGGAAUCCCUAGUAACCGCGUGUCAUCACCGCGCGGUGAAUACGUCCCUGCUCCUUGCACACACCGCCCGUCGCUUCACCCGAGUUGGGUCUAGGCGAGGCCGGCUCCUGUUGGGCCGAUCGAACCUAGGUUCGGCAAGGGGGGAGAAGUCGUAACAAGGUAGCCGU